rnacentral:rRNA from 1 species
AGAGUUUGAUCCUGGCUCAGAACGAACGCUGGCGGCGUGGAUUAGGCAUGCAAGUCGAACGAGAUCUUGGGCUGUAGCAAUACAGUCUAAGUGAAAGUGGCGAAAGGGUGAGUAACACGUGGGUAAUCUGCCCUAGGGUGCGGGACAACCUUCCGAAAGGGAGGCUAAUACCGCGUAGGACCACGGUCUCUACGGAGACCGAGGUGAAACGAUGGCCUCUAUUUAUAAGCUAUCGCCUUUGGAUGAGCCCGCGCUUUAUCAGCUUGUUGGUGAGGUAAUGGCUCACCAAGGCUAAGACGAAUAGCUGGUCUGAGAGGACGAUCAGCCACAUCGGGACUGAGACACUGCCCGGACUUCUACGGAAGGCUGCAGUCGAGAAUCUUUCGCAAUGGGGGAAACCCUGACGAAGCGACGCCGCGUGCAGGACGAAGGCUUUCGGGUUGUAAACUGCUGUCGGCCAUGACGAAUUGUGUAUCGGUGAACAAUCGAUACACUUGACGGUAGUGGCAGAGGAAGCAACGGCUAACUCUGUGCCAGCAGCCGCGGUAAUACAGAGGUUGCAAGCGUUGUUCGGAUUUAUUGGGUGUAAAGGGUGUGUAGGCGGUUGGAUAAGUCGGAUGUGAAAUCCUGGAGCUUAACUCCAGAACUGCAUUUGAUACUGUCCAGCUAGAGUACGUUAGAGGAAAGGGGAAUUCCCGGUGUAAGGGUGAAAUCUUCAGAUAUCGGGAGGAACACCAGUGGCGAAGGCGCCUUUCUGGGACGAUACUGACGCUGAAACACGAAAGCUAGGGGAGCGAACAGGAUUAGAUACCCUGGUAGUCCUAGCCGUAAACGAUGGGUACUAGGCGUUGGGGAGCGCAAGCUUCUCAGUGCCGACGCAAACGCAUUAAGUACCCCACCUGGGGAGUACGGUCGCAAGAUUGAAACUCAAAGGAAUUGACGGGGACCCGCACAAAUGGUGGAGCAUGUGGUUUAAUACGACGAUACGCGUGAAACCUCACCCAGGCUUGACAUGUACCGGAAGAAUUAUAGAAAUAUAGUUCGUCCUUUACGGGACUGGUACACAGGUGUUGCAUGGCUGUCGUCAGCUUGUGUCGUGAGAUGUUGGGUUAAGUCCCGCAACGAGCGCAACCCCUAUUCUUAGUUACCAUCGGUUCGGCCGGGGACUCUAAGAAGACUGCCACGGAUAACGUGGAGGAAGGUGGGGAUGACGUCAAGUCAGUACGGCCCUUACGCCUGGGGCUACACACGUGCUACAAUGGCUGGUACAAAGGGCCGCAAUACCGCAAGGUGGAGCUAAUCCCAAAAAACCAGCCCCAGUUCAGAUUGAAGGCUGCAAUUCGCCUUCAUGAAGCCGGAAUCAUUAGUAACCCCGCAUAAGUCACGGCGGGGUGAAUACGUUCCCGGGUCUUGUACACACCGCCCGUCAAGUCAUCCGAGUGAAAUGCACCCGAAGACGUGAUCUUAACCGCAAGGAGGGAUGGGUCGAAGGUGUGUUCCAUGG